UCUUUUUCCACCGGAGCUUGCUCCACCGGAAAAAGANGAGUGGCGAACGGGUGAGUAACACGUGGGUAACCUGCCCAUCAGAAGGGGAUAACACUUGGAAACAGGUGCUAAUACCGUAUAACAAUCNAAACCGCAUGGUUUUGAUUUGAAAGGCGCUUUCGGGUGUCGCUGAUGGAUGGACCCGCGGUGCAUUAGCUAGUUGGUGAGGUAACGGCUCACCAAGGCCACGAUGCAUAGCCGACCUGAGAGGGUGAUCGGCCACAUUGGGACUGAGACACGGCCCAAACUCCUACGGGAGGCAGCAGUAGGGAAUCUUCGGCAAUGGACGAAAGUCUGACCGAGCAACGCCGCGUGAGUGAAGAAGGUUUUCGGAUCGUAAAACUCUGUUGUUAGAGAAGAACAAGGAUGAGAGUAACUGUUCAUCCCUUGACGGUAUCUAACCAGAAAGCCACGGCUAACUACGUGCCAGCAGCCGCGGUAAUACGUAGGUGGCAAGCGUUGUCCGGAUUUAUUGGGCGUAAAGCGAGCGCAGGCGGUUUCUUAAGUCUGAUGUGAAAGCCCCCGGCUCAACCGGGGAGGGUCAUUGGAAACUGGGAGACUUGAGUGCAGAAGAGGAGAGUGGAAUUCCAUGUGUAGCGGUGAAAUGCGUAGAUAUAUGGAGGAACACCAGUGGCGAGGCGGCUCUCUGGUCUGUAACUGACGCUGAGGCUCGAAGCGUGGGGAGCAAACAGGAUUAGAUACCCUGGUAGUCCACGCCGUAAACGAUGAGUGCUAAGUGUUGGAGGGUUUCCGCCCUUCAGUGCUGCAGCUAACGCAUUAAGCACUCCGCCUGGGG
rnacentral:rRNA from 1 species